AUUGAACGCUGGCGGCAGGCCUAACACAUGCAAGUCGAGCGAGUGGCGGACGGGUGAGUAAUGUAUGGGGAUCUGCCUGAUAGAGGGGGAUAACUACUGGAAACGGUGGCUAAUACCGCAUACCAUCGGAUGUACCCAGAUGGGAUUAGCUAGUAGGUGGGGUAAAGGCUCACCUAGGCGACGAUCUCUAGCUGGUCUGAGAGGAUGACCAGCCACACUGGGACUGAGACACGGCCCAGACUCCUACGGGAGGCAGCAGUGGGGAAUAUUGCACAAUGGGCGCAAGCCUGAUGCAGCCAUGCCGCGUGUAUGAAGAAGGCCUUAGGGUUGUAAAGUACUUUCAGCGGGGAGGCGUUACCCGCAGAAGAAGCACCGGCUAACUCCGUGCCAGCAGCCGCGGUAAUUC
rnacentral:rRNA from 1 species